UGAACGCUGGCGGCGUGCUUAACACAUGCAAGUCGAACGAACCUUCGGGUUAGUGGCGGACGGGUGAGUAACGCGUGAGAAUCUGCCCUCAGGAGGGGGAUAACGGCUGGAAACGGCCGCUAAUACCCCAUAUGCCGCGAGGUGAAAUGAAUUUCGCCUGAGGAUGAGCUCGCGUCUGAUUAGCUAGUUGGUGGGGUAAGAGCCUACCAAGGCAUCGAUCAGUAGCUGGUCUGAGAGGAUGAUCAGCCACACUGGGACUGAGACACGGCCCAGACUCCUACGGGAGGCAGCAGUGGGGGAAUUUUCCGCAAUGGGCGAAAGCCUGACGGAGCAACGCCGCGUGAGGGAUGAAGGCCUCUGGGCUGUAAACCUCUUUUAUCAAGGAAGAAGAUCUGACGGUACUUGAUGAAUAAGCCACGGCUAAUUCCGUGCCAGCAG
rnacentral:rRNA from 1 species